AUUGAACGCUGGCGGCAGGCCUAACACAUGCAAGUCGAGCGAGCGGCGGACGGGUGAGUAAUGUCUGGGAAACUGCCUGAUGGAGGGGGAUAACUACUGGAAACGGUAGCUAAUACCGCAUACCAUCGGAUGUGCACAGAUGGGAUUAGCUAGUAGGUGGGGUAACGGCUCACCUAGGCGACGAUCCCUAGCUGGUCUGAGAGGAUGACCAGCCACACUGGAACUUGGACACGGUCCAGACUCCUACGUGAGGCAGCAGUGGGGAAUAUUGCACAAUGGGCUCAAGCCUGAUGCAGCCAUGCCGCGUGUAUGAAGAAGGCCUUAGGGUUGUAAAGCACUUUCAGCCGGGAGGCGUUACCCACAGAAGAAGCACCGGCUAACUCCGUGCCAGCAGCCGCGGUAAUAC
rnacentral:rRNA from 1 species